UAGAACUCACAUUUGCUCGACUUCACCUCGGGACCCAAUUCCUCAAUUCCAGUGGAAGGAGAGUUCGUUGUGGACUUCUUCCGGCUUGCCUCCAAGCUCCAAGUGUGCCGUCGUCUAAGUACCAGACGUUUACUGGGGAUUGGGGGUUUGAGAUUGCUUUCUGGAUAGCUAGGCUGAAGAUAAAGAGGCUAAGGGGAUCUCCCUGCUGUGCACCGACCUGUUAAAAUAUGAGGGAUUCGCAGCCGCAGCUUCGGAUCUGUACAUAAUUGAUAAAUAAUAAAUCUUUGAGGAGAACGGAACGGAACCAUGCGCAAUGUGCGCAAUAAUUUUCAGAGGGCCUACCGCGUACCACGUUCUACUUGUUGCAUCCCUGUCACACUUACGUAGGAAUUUACAAGUGCGACAGAGAGGCAAUACUAUGAACUGUUUUAGUUGUGGUUCUGUCAUUUGCGUAUUCUUAUUCUUCGGGGUGUUUACAAUUUACAUAGAAAUCAAAGCGGAGAUAAGAAGAUGACUUCCGACUGUUAGUUUAGUUUUAUUUAAUAAUAGCCUCCAGUGAAGCAAUCCAAGUUUACUUUUGAGACUUGUAAAUAGUACAAUGUAAGUUACAUUCAGUGCGUUGUUUUUCGUGGCAUCAAUGUUUGAUCAAUAGGUACGCUCGAAUUCAGUAUCGCUAAGUAGAAUGGAGACGCUAGCCAAGGGUAUUUUGAUAAGCGCAGCGGUGGUGGUGGCGGCGGUGUCAGCAGUGGUGAACUGGUGGCAGUACAGACAGGUGCCGGCACGGUACUCCACUCAUGGCGAGCGGCCGAGACGGGACUGAGAUGAGCUUCCACCUGCACAUAGUAUUGAAUCAAGCAAUAAUGCGAUAUUAUUAGCUUUAAUAGAAAUUAAUAAUAUUUAUCACAAGUUGUCAAGUUAUGUUAUUUUAAGAUUGGUUAUUUUAAUUAAAUGUUUGAAUUAAUAA